rnacentral:lncRNA from 1 species
GUUCUCUGUGUUCUCUGUGUUUGACCUCAGUUCUCCUGUUCCCUAAAGGGAGGUACUUUAGUGCUGAUCACAGACAGGGCUAGCCUCUAGGAAGAACGGUUUGUGGAGGUUCUCCUGGUCUAUUGAUUGCUUUCCAUCACCCCACAAAAUGCAUACCAGCUGGGGACGAGGAUGGCUUCCCACUAGAAAGGAGGGAGAGUGCUCAGAAAGAGCCCGGAGAGGAACAGCGGGCAGGUGUGUGCAUCUUUACACUCAUGACAACUGAGGGAAGGAAACUGCUCCCUGCUCCCUCUAAGCAGAAGAGAACCCUACCCACCCAUCCCAC